rnacentral:lncRNA from 1 species
GGAAGAAUAAAAGCCUGAAGAUUUUUGAUUAAUGAAUAACAUGAUUAAAAUGGGGUUUUAGAAGAGAAACUUGUUGGCAGUCUGCACUAUGGAGUGAAAGGAAAACAAACUGUUACUGCUGAGUGUGAAAGAGGGGGAAAUACUGAUGUUGAGAACGAGACGAGAAGGCCAUAAACAACACUCUCAGUAUGGAUGUGGCCAUCCCUGAGAAGACAUCCCCAGACUGAGAGCCCAUCACUCCUUGGAGCUUUGACACCACUCAUAGUCAUAUGACUGAGAGCUUGCAAUACUGGAAAAUAAGAAAUGGUGUUAUCAACAUUGAAAAACUAACACUGACAUGGAAGAUCAGAAUUGAAAGCCCUCUCUGGAUAGCAUGGACCUUGACUUUCAUUUCUCAGUGCUUCUGCUUCUUGGAAACAAGGAUUUGGCUCACUGGGCUGCCCACCCACAUUGACGAGAGCGAGCUUCUUGACUCAGUCUACUGA